rnacentral:rRNA from 1 species
UACGUAGGGUGCGAGCGUUGUCCGGAAUUACUGGGCGUAAAGAGCUCGUAGGUGGUUUGUCGCGUUGUUCGUGAAAACUCACAGCUCAACUGUGGGCGUGCGGGCGAUACGGGCAGACUAGAGUACUGCAGGGGAGACUGGAAUUCCUGGUGUAGCGGUGGAAUGCGCAGAUAUCAGGAGGAACACCGGUGGCGAAGGCGGGUCUCUGGGCAGUAACUGACGCUGGGGAGCGAAAGCGUGGGGAGCGAACAGG